CAGCCGCCGCGGGAAUACGAAGGGGGCUAGCGUUGCUCGGAAUGACUGGGCGUAAAGGGCGCGUAGGCGGCGGCCAAAGUCAGGCGUGAAAUUCCCGGGCUCAACCUGGGGGCUGCGUUUGAUACUUGGUUGCUUGAGUGGGGAAGAGGGUCGUGGAAUUCCCAGUGUAGAGGUGAAAUUCGUAGAUAUUCGGAAGAACACCAGUGGCGAAGGCGGCUCACUGGACCGUUGUUGACGCUGAGGUGCGAAAGCGUGGGGAGCAAACAGGAUUAGAGACCCCUGUAGUCCCUGUCUCUUAUAC
rnacentral:rRNA from 1 species